GGGUCAGUAGGUUGGUCGUGCCACCGGUACGUACUGGUCUCACUGAUUCCUCCUUCCUGAAGAACCGUAAUGCCAUUAGCUUGGUGUUGCGGGGAAACAGGACUGUUACUUUGAAAAAAUUAGAGCGUUUAAAGCAAGCUAACGCUUGAAUACAUUAGCAUGGAAUAAUGAAAUAGGACGAUCGAUCCUAUUUUGUUGGUUUCUAGGAUUUACGUA
rnacentral:rRNA from 1 species